AGUUUGAUCCUGGCUCAGGAUGAACGCUAGCUACAGGCUUAACACAUGCAAGUCGAGGGGCAGCAUGGUCUUAGCUUGCUAAGGCCGAUGGCGACCGGCGCACGGGUGAGUAACACGUAUCCAACCUGCCGUCUACUCUUGGACAGCCUUCUGAAAGGAAGAUUAAUACAAGAUGGCAUCAUGAGUCCGCAUGUUCACAUGAUUAAAGGUAUUCCGGUAGACGAUGGGGAUGCGUUCCAUUAGAUAGUAGGCGGGGUAACGGCCCACCUAGUCUUCGAUGGAUAGGGGUUCUGAGAGGAAGGUCCCCCACAUUGGAACUGAGACACGGUCCAAACUCCUACGGGAGGCAGCAGUGAGGAAUAUUGGUCAAUGGGUGAGAGCCUGAACCAGCCAAGUAGCGUGAAGGAUGACUGCCCUAUGGGUUGUAAACUUCUUUUAUAAAGGAAUAAAGUCGGGUACGGAUACCCGUUUGCAUGUACUUUAUGAAUAAGGAUCGGCUAACUCCGUGCCAGCAGCCGCGGUAAUACGGAGGAUCCGAGCGUUAUCCGGAUUUAUUGGGUUUAAAGGGAGCGUAGAUGGAUGUUUAAGUCAGUUGUGAAAGUUUGCGGCUCAACCGUAAAAUUGCAGUUGAUACUGGAUAUCUUGAGUGCAGUUGAGGCAGGCGGAAUUCGUGGUGUAGCGGUGAAAUGCUUAGAUAUCACGAAGAACUCCGAUUGCGAAGGCAGCCUGCUAAGCUGCAACUGACAUUGAGGCUCGAAAGUGUGGGUAUCAAACAGGAUUAGAUACCCUGGUAGUCCACACGGUAAACGAUGAAUACUCGCUGUUUGCGAUAUACAGCAAGCGGCCAAGCGAAAGCGUUAAGUAUUCCACCUGGGGAGUACGCCGGCAACGGUGAAACUCAAAGGAAUUGACGGGGGCCCGCACAAGCGGAGGAACAUGUGGUUUAAUUCGAUGAUACGCGAGGAACCUUACCCGGGCUUAAAUUGCAGAUGAAUUACGGUGAGAGCCGUAAGCCGCAAGGCAUCUGUGAAGGUGCUGCAUGGUUGUCGUCAGCUCGUGCCGUGAGGUGUCGGCUUAAGUGCCAUAACGAGCGCAACCCUUGUUGUCAGUUACUAACAGGUCAUGCUGAGGACUCUGACAAGACUGCCAUCGUAAGAUGUGAGGAAGGUGG
rnacentral:rRNA from 1 species